rnacentral:tmRNA from 1 species
GGGGGCGAACGGUUUCGACUGGGAUGGCAGAAGCGAGGCUGCGCGUCGAGGUGGUCCGGGCCCUCGUAAAACACCUGGACGGCGAAUAACCGCCAAUACACAGUACGCAUACGCUGCCUAAGUAGCAGCGUACGUUCACCCGGGAGGGCCGGUGGCCCGGGAUGGACGUCAACAGCCGGCUACCGCACGGCGCACCGCCCGGGCGCCGGUCGGGAAUCCUAACGGGCUGGCGUUUUGAGGAUCCAGCUCAGGGGAGCUUCGAGACGCGAGAUCCAAAGCCUGAGAUACACUCGUAGACGUCCCGCCCUCGCGAUCCUAGGACGCGGGUUCAAUUCCCGCCGCCUCCACCA